GAUGAAGAACGUAGCGAACUGCGAUAAGUAAUGUGAAUUGCAGAAUUCAGUGAAUCAUCGAGUCUUUGAACGCACAUUGCGCCCCCUGGCAUUCCGGGGGGCAUGCCUGUCCGAGCGUCAUUGCUGCCCUUCAAGCCCGGCUUGUGUGUUGGGUCGUCGUCCCCCCCGGGGGACGGGCCCGAAAGUCAGCGGCGGCACCGCGUCCGGUCCUCGAGCGUAUGGGGCUUUGUCACCCGCUCGAUUAGGGCCGGCCGGGCGCCAGCCGGCGUCUCCAACCUUUUAUUUUACCAGGUUGACCUCGGAUCAGGUAGGGAUACCCGCUGAACUUAAGCAUAUCAAUAAGCGGAGGA
rnacentral:misc_RNA from 1 species